rfam:Hordeum vulgare subsp. vulgare, WGS project CAJW01000000 data, contig: morex_contig_65460
UUUAUACUCACUAUGUCCCAAAAAAAUUUGUUUAGGUUUGUCUAAAAAUGAAUGUAUCUAAAUACUAAAAAAUGUUUAGAUACAUUCAUAUCUAGACAAAUUUAAGACAAGAUUUUUGGGACGGAGGGAGUAAAAG